rnacentral:tRNA from 14 species
GCGGAAGUAGCUCAGUUGAUAGAGCAUUAGCCUUCCAAGCUGAGGGUCGCGGGUUUGAGCCCCGUCUUCCGCUCCA